rnacentral:pre_miRNA from 1 species
UUGUGCUUGAUCUAACCAUGCGAUGGGGAGCUACAGUAACACCAUGGUUCUGUCAAGCACCACG